rnacentral:rRNA from 1 species
GACGAACGUUGGCGGCGUGCUUAAUACAUGCAAGUCAACUGAAGCAGUGGUAGCAAUAUCGCUGUGGAGGUGGCGCACGGGUGAGUAACACGUAGGUAAUCUGCCUUUAGGUCUGGCAUAACUCUGGGAAACCGGGGCUAAUAGCAGAUGAUGCAGCGGCUCGACAUCGAGACAGUUGUUAAAGCUAUGGCGCCUGAAGAUGAGCCUGCGUCUGAUUAGCUAGUUGGCGGGGUAACGGCCCACCAAGGCAACGAUCAUUAGCUGGUCUGAGAGGCUGAUCAGCCACACUGGAACUGAGACACGGUCCAGACUCCUACGGGAGGCAGCAGUAAGGAAUAUUGCGCAAUGGAAGAAAUCCUGAAGCAGCAACGCCGCGUGAGAGACGGAGGGCUUUUGCUUGUAAACCUCUGUAGUGAGAGAAAAAAAUCCCAAUCUUUGGGACAUGAUGGUAUCUCAAAAGUAAGCCCCGGCUAACUACGUG